rnacentral:rRNA from 1 species
ACGGGAGGCAGCAGUGGGGGAUAUUGCACAAUGGGGGAAACCCUGGUGCAGCGACGCCGCGUGAGUGAAGAAGUAUUUCGGUAUGUAAAGCUCUAUCAGCAGGAAAGAAAAUGACGGUACCUGACUAAGAAGCCCCGGCUAACUACGUGCCAGCAGCCGCGGUAAUACGUAGGGGGCGAGCGUUGUCCGGAAUGACUGGGCGUAAAGGGCGUGUAGGCGGCCGAUUAAGUCUGGAGUGAAAGUCCUGUUUUCAAGAUGGGAAUUGCUUUGGAUACUGGUUGGCUAGAGUGCGGAAGAGGUAAGUGGAAUUCCCAGUGUAGCGGUGAAAUGCGUAGAGAUUGGGAGGAACACCAGUGGCGAAGGCGACUUACUGGGCCGUAACUGACGCUGAGGCGCGAAAGCGUGGGGAGCGAACAGGAUUAGAUACCCUGGUA